CAAAACCUAUAAAAUUUGGCGGUUGUAAUCUUUUAGAGAAACUUGUCUCAUAAUCGAUAACUCACGAUAAUUUUAACUUUUAUUAUUUUAUUUUAGUCCCUAUACCGCCGUUACAGAACAAAUAUAAAUAUAACACCUCUAAAUAAACUCCUAAAAAAUCAGGUCAAGGUGCGGCUAACAUAAAAGUAGAAAUUAGUUACUUAUAAAUAAAAUUUAAGAAAUUAAAACCAAAACUCAAAACGAAAUAGAAUCUAAAAACAAACCUUCAUUAAAAAUUAUGCUUGAAACUAAUAUUAUUACAAC
rnacentral:rRNA from 1 species